rnacentral:rRNA from 1 species
UGAUGCGUUCAUACUACUUCGAAAGCACCCGAUCCCAUCAGAACUCGGAAGUUAAGCGGAGUUAGGCCGGUCUAGUACUGAGUUGAGUGAUCACUCGGGAAUCACCGGUGACGCAUUGC